GAUUAACGCUGGCGGCGUGCAUAACACAUGCAAGUCGAACGAUGAAACUUUAAUGACCCCUUCGGGGAGAAUUAAAGCGGAUUAGUGGCGAACGGGUGAGUAACGCGUGAGUAACCUGCCUUACACAAGGGGAUAGCCUUUGGAAACGAAGAAUAAUACCCUAUAAAACCAUAAAAGCACAUGCAAUUAUGGUCAAAGUGAUAGCGGUGUAAGAUGGACUUGCGUCUGAUUAGCUAGUUGGUGAGAUAAAAGCCCACCAAGGCAACGAUCAGUAGCCGGCUUGAGAGAGUGUACGGCCACAUUGGGACUGAGACACGGCCCAGACUCCUACGGGAGGCAGCAGUGGGGAAGUUUGCACAAUGGGGGAAACCCUGAUGCAGCGACGCCGCGUGAUUUAGAAGGCCUUCGGGUUGUAAAAAUCUUUUGUAUAGGAAGAAAAUGACAGUACUAUACGAAUAAGGUCCGGCUAAUUACGUG
rnacentral:rRNA from 1 species